rnacentral:rRNA from 1 species
AUGAAGUCGGAAUUGCUGUAAUCGCGGAUCAGCAUGCCGCGGUGAAUACGUUCCCGGGCCUUGUACACACCGCCCGUCACACCAUGGGAGCCGGUAAUACCCGAAGUCAGUAGUCCAACCUCGUGAGGACGCUGCCGAAGGUAGGAUUGGCGACUGGGGUGAAGUCGUAACAAGGUAGC